rnacentral:rRNA from 1 species
CAUGUCCUUGAUAUGAAAGAUCCGUCGGUCCGGGAUGGGCAUGCGGCGCAUUAGCUUGUUGGCGGGGCAACGGCCCACCAAGGCGACGAUGCGUAGGGGUUCUGAGAGGAAGGUCCCCCACACUGGUACUGAGACACGGACCAGACUCCUACGGGAGGCAGCAGUGAGGAAUAUUGGUCAAUGGACGGUAGUCUGAACCAGCCAAGUCGCGUGCGGGAAGAAGGCCCUCCGGGUCGUAAACCGCUUUAGCCGGGGAGUAACGUGCGGGACGUGUCCCGCAGUGAGAGUACCCGGAGAAUAAGCAUCGGCUAACUCCGUGCCAGCAGCCGCGGUAAUACGGAGGAUGCGAGCGUUAUCCGGAUUUAUUGGGUUUAAAGGGUGCGCAGGCGGCGAGUCAAGUCAGCGGUCAAACUGCGGCGCUCAACGCCGUACCGCCGUUGAAACUGGCGCGCUUGAGUUUGUGCGAGGAUGGCGGAAUGCGCAGUGUAGCGGUGAAAUGCAUAGAUAUUGCGCAGAACUCCGAUUGCGAAGGCAGCUGUCCAGCACACUACUGACGCUCAUGCACGAAAGCGUGGGUAUC